UACGGAGGGUGCAAGCGUUAUCCGGAUUCACUGGGUUUAAAGGGUGCGUAGGCGGUCAGGUAAGUCCGUGGUGAAAUCUCUGAGCUUAACUCAGAAACUGCCAUGGAUACUAUUUGUCUUGAAUGUUGUGGAGGUAAGCGGAAUAUGUCAUGUAGCGGUGAAAUGCUUAGAUAUGACAUAGAACACCAAUUGCGAAGGCAGCUGGCUACACGAAUAUUGACACUGAUGCACGAAAGCGUGGGGAUCAAACAGG
rnacentral:rRNA from 1 species